GCGAGGAUGGCGGAACUGGCAGACGCGCUAGACUUAGGAUCUAGUACUCAAAAGGUGUAAGGGUUCGACUCCCUUUCCUCGCACCA
rnacentral:tRNA from 3 species